rnacentral:tRNA from 1 species
GCCGCUGUGUGACGCCUUGAGGGGCCAUGACCUGCAGCGAUACUCGUCAUGCAGACGGCCUCCGGAGCCGUGUGCGCAGGUUCGAAUCCUGCCGGGGGCA